ensembl:lncRNA
GCACUGCUGGCUGCGCACUGCUCUGGACGGGGCGAACCAACACGUUGCGCAACUGUCGCAGGACCCCAGGAAUGGAGUUGCCAAGGCUGCUUCUGUAGACAUCGGUUCUCUCAGUGCAGUUUCGGGCUUGUCUUUGGAGAGACUUGAAAGUUUCCUUUCACAGAGUCUACGGAGGUGAUGGGCCACUCCCAGGGCGUCCUCUGGGAGGCAGCAAGGUCUUCCAAGUUAAGGUAAUUUUUUGACAUUGCCGAAAUGGUUGAUCCUAGCUACAAAUGGGAAUUUGGAGUCACUCUGAAAUAUAUCCUGGAAUAAUUGUGUUUGACUGGAACCAAAUCUUAUGAAGUCUCCAAGGAUGAGAGUCUGGGCUAGGUCAGUUUUGCUGUCACACUGGCUCUUUCUGGCCUACGUGUUAAUGGUGUGCUGUAAGCUGAUGUCUGCCUCCAGCCAGCACCUCCGGGGACACACAGGUAAGCCCUUUAAGCUGUUAUUUGCCUCUGAGAUCAAUUAAUAAAACGCUUUCAAAUGCCAGAGUCCAUAUUUUAGACAAAGGUAACUGACAAGAGCUUUUGGUGGUGUGUAAAUAACCAGAGGAAGCAUGAAAUAUAGCAGAAUAAAGCAGUUUAACAAUUUGAUGCUUAAAGAGUAUUGCUCCAGAUGUCUUUUUAGGAUGUUCUCCAGGUUUUCCUUUUUUUCUUUUCCUUCCCUAAGUACACUUGCAUUUUUUUUUGGUAAUGAUUUUCCUCAAAGAGUCCUGGAAAACCAGCAGCACUCUGUAAUUAUAUACUCCAGCCUCCUUUGAGGAAAAACAUCUUUAUUGAUAAACUUAAAUGAACACUUCUAGAGCUAUAGUGAAGGGAACUUUCAGACAGUUUUAUAUCCUUUUAUGAAAAGGUGGUGAAUGGUUGAAAAAGAAGAAAGAAAAGGGGGAAAAAGCUGUGGUAAUCUUUGUACAGAAACUAAAAUGCAAUGUGUCUGAAAUUUUAGAGAAUCUUUCCAAUAAUUUCUAAUGAGACCCAUGGCUGUACUUUGCUUAUUUCUAAAGAAAGAUUAAAAUACUCAGUUAAGUGUGUGUAUGUGUUUCUUUUUUCCUUUCCUGGUUACAUCUAUGUUGAAAGUGACAUAGACUUGGAAACUCCCCAGUGAAUUGUGUUUUCCUGAAUAAUUCAUAUGUGUCAGCAGACUCAUUGCCAAACAAUUAAUUUACUGUCUCUGCUUCAGUAAUUGGAGGUGUGGCAGUGCCAGGCAUGCUCUGACUUUUUAGUGAAACAGCGAUGUUUGAACCCUAGACUAUGUGUGAGUCAGAAUUAUAAGGUCUCUUGCCAAGAAAGUAUUGUAGAGAAGUUUGGUCAGUAUCCUGACCCUUAGGUACACAGCAGGUCAAGCUUUCCACUUAGUUAUUCUGCUAAUUUAAGAUUAAGACACAAUUUUAGGCUUAAGUUUUUAAACUCUCUCAUGCCUCAAUUUUCCUUAAGUGACAGUUUCAAGAAGACAGAAAUAAUGAUUGAAAAUGUAAUGGAUCAGCAUAAAAUUAGUACCAUUUGGCUGUUGUGAAGAUGCCCAGGGCUAGUUGGUUAUUAUGCUGUGUGUCUUUUGAUGAGGUUGGUCUCAAGGAUUGAGCAUUUGAAGUCAUUAGUCUUAUCUGUUUAAUAUACAUCUCUUUUCUUGGGUGCAGGUAGAGAGUCAGCUGGUAAAAAUACAAAGCAUUUCAGUGGGGCUGGUUAUCCCCAGCACACAUCCAGAUUUCCAGGAACUAGAUUUGAGGGAUUAUGACAAAAAGUGGUUAAAACUUGAAGGAAAUGGGGGACAUGACUGAACCUUCCAUUUUUAAUCUUCCUGACGAACUUCAUUUUGUACCAUAACCCUUUAAAUUUGUAAAAGGUGGAACUGUAGAAGUAAAUCUAAAUUAUUAUUUGCAUUGUGUACACAAGAGAUGCAAUAUCUUAUGUACAAGCAAAUACUCAGCUGCGGCAGGGGAGGUGAGAAGUCGGAUGGAAGCCUUGAGUGGGUAGUAUGUAAGCUGGAUAUUCUCCUCUACUGUAGUCUUUUUGGAACCACCAUGAGCUUGCGGGUUUGAUCCCUGGCCUCACUCAGUGGGUUAAGGAUCCGGUGUUACCGUGAGCUGUAGUGUAUGUAGUUCGCAAACUCGGCUCGGAUCCCACCUUGCUGUGGCUAUGGUGUAGGCCAGCGGCUACAGCUCCAAUUAGACCUCUAGCCUGGAAACCUCCAUAUGCUGUGGGUGUGGCCUGAAAAGACAAAAGACAAAAAAAAAAAAAAAAAAAAAAAAAAAAAAAAANCACUUGUUCUUUUGUGCUGUAGUGUAGUACCAAGGUGGCAAGUAUAUAUUUGAUAUCAGGAAUGACCUUGUAGGCAAAGCAGAUGGCCAAAUAGGGGAAAUUUGAGAAUUAAAAGGAACAUUUCUUGUCCAUCAAUUUUAUCAUCUAGUAGAGAUGCGUGAAAAUUUGAAUAUUUAUUAUUUUGAUUUAUUUAAGGCUUUUCUACUUUAAAGUAUGUUUUGUAAAUGCAGAAAACAUUUUUUCCUUUUUUAAAAUGAAGUACAGUUGAUGUACAAUUAAAAACAUUUUUCUGGAAAAAAAAAAGAAAAAAAAAAAAAAA